rnacentral:rRNA from 1 species
GACGAACGCUGGCGGCGUGCUUAACACAUGCAAGUCGAACGGAAAGGCCCUGCUUUUGUGGGGUGCUCGAGUGGCGAACGGGUGAGUAACACGUGAGUAACCUGCCCUUGACUUUGGGAUAACUUCAGGAAACUGGGGCUAAUACCGGAUAGGAGCUCCUGCUGCAUGGUGGGGGUUGGAAAGUUUCGGCGGUUGGGGAUGGACUCGCGGCUUAUCAGCUUGUUGGUGGGGUAGUGGCUUACCAAGGCUUUGACGGGUAGCCGGCCCGAGAGGGUGACCGGCCACAUUGGGACUGAGAUACGGCCCAGACUCCUACGGGAGGCAGCAGUGGGGAAUAUUGCACAAUGGGCGGAAGCCUGAUGCAGCAACGCCGCGUGCGGGAUGACGGCCUUCGGGUUGUAAACCGCUUUCGCCUGUGACGAAGCGUGAGUGACGGUAAUGGGUAAAGAAGCACCGGCUAACUACGUG